rnacentral:rRNA from 1 species
CCCUUAGAUGUUCUGGGCCGCACGCGCGCUACAAUGGUCUUCGCAAACGGAUGCAUUCUCGAAGGAGAAUGCCAAUCUUGGAAUCUAUGCCUUGGUCGGGACAGUCGCUUGCAAUUUUUCGACUCGAACCAGGAAUUCCUUGUAAUCGUGAUUCAUCACAUCACGAUGAAUACGUCCCUGCCCUUUGUACACACCGCCCGUCGCUCCUACCGAUCGAAGAGUUAGGUGAAUUGUUUUGAUCGAUAAGAUUUGACUAUGGUCAACUCUCGUUGUGAAAUUCUGUGAAUCUGACUGUUUAGAGGAAGGAAAAGUCGUAACA